AGUCGGAAUUGCUAGUAAUCGCGGAUCAGCAUGCCGCGGUGAAUACGUUCUCGGGCCUUGUACACACCGCCCGUCACACCAUGGGAGUCGGUAACACCCGAAGUCUGUAGCCUGACGCAAGAGGGCGCAGCCGAAGGUGGGAUUGAUGACUGGGGUGAAGUCGUAACAAGGUAGC
rnacentral:rRNA from 1 species